rnacentral:misc_RNA from 1 species
GAGAACGAGCAAGAGAAGGGGGGCAGCUAUCUUGAAGAACAUAAAAGGUGUGGCUCAUUCUAUGUCUAUAACUGGAAGAGGUGCUGAUAAAGAGAGGGACAUUAAUAAUUCUCCAACAGCGGAGUCAAAACAAGGAGGCAAAAAUUCCUCAUCUUCUGGAUGGAUAAAGGUUAAGCAGACAGGGAAAUCUUACAAGGAGCUUAGUGCUUUGAAUUUGUGCCAAGAGAUUCAGGCUCAUGAAGGUUCCAUAUGGACCAUGAAGUUCAGUCCUGACACCCGAUUUCUUGCUAGUGGGGGAGAAGACAGGACUAUUCAU